AGGAUUAAUGCUGUUCCGAGCAGAACAUUAUCCUGGAUAAGCAUAUCCUUACUUUAUAUAUUCAAGUGUCUUGCUUUUUUUUAGACUAUUUUCUCUGAAACUCUGACCCUCUUGAAAACCCAAGUUUUGCAUUGGAGUACUAUCCAAAUGAAAGAUAUGGCUGCUGCCAGGAAGAGAUGGGAAGCUCUGGUGUUUUGAAUCCCAAAGUAACAGCAUUUACGUCUUUCUUUUGGGCAUGGAGUAGAUGGGUCAGGGAAGAAAAAGUGAAAGUUCCUACACCUGGGGAAGCUGGGUAUGCAAUUCAGCUAUCUAACAAAACCCCACUUGAUGUUCAUCCCUCUACUGAACACAAAAUGGUGGACAGGCUCAACCUGUAUUCCAAUCUUUGAUGUUGAUAACAAGCUUGACGCUGGAACUCAGUUGCGACAUAUCACAACUUUUGUGAUGGGAUCUUAUGACUUAUCAGAGAAGGUCCUCAACCUUUUAAACUUUGUAGAAUUGGCAGGGGCUUUGAAUUUCUUGGGGGGAAGCUCCCAAUCAAAGCUGUGGAGAAGUUGAGCCAGAGCAAGCUCAACACUUGCUGUUCCAAAUGUGAUAGCUGGGCAGCUUCUUCUACCGGCACCAAAAG